rnacentral:rRNA from 1 species
UUUAUUAAGAGUUUGAUCCUGGCUCAGGAUGAACGCUGGCGGCGUGCCUAAUACAUGCAAGUCGAGCGAGAUGUUAGCGCAUGAACCUUCGGGGGAUUAUGCUAACGGACAGCGGCGGACGGGUGAGUAACGCGUAGGCAACCUGCCCCUGACAGAGGGAUAGCCAUUGGAAACGAUGAUUAAAACCUCAUGACACCGUAGAAGCACAUGCUUCAUCGGUCAAAGAUUUAUCGGUCAGGGAUGGGCCUGCGUCUGAUUAACUAGUUGGUGAGGUAACGGCUCACCAAGGUGACGAUCAGUAGCCGACCUGAGAGGGUGAUCGGCCACAUUGGAACUGAGACACGGUCCAAACUUCUACGGAAGGCAGCAGUAGGGAAUCUUGCACAAUGGGCGAAAGCCUGAUGCAGCAACGCCGCGUGAAGGAUGAAGGCCUUCGGGUUGUAAACUUCUGUUCUAAGGGAAGAAACAAAUGACGGUACCUUAGGAGCAAGCCCCGGCUAACUACGUGCCAGCAGCCGCGGUAAUACGUAGGGGGCAAGCGUUAUCCGGAAUUAUUGGGCGUAAAGAGUGCGUAGGUGGUUACCUAAGCGCAAGGUUUAAUUUAGAGGCUCAACCUCUACUUGCCUUGCGAACUGGGCUACUUGAGUGCAGGAGGGGAAAGCGGAAUUCCUAGUGUAGCGGUGAAAUGCGUAGAUAUUAGGAGGAACACCAGCGGCGAAGGCGGCUUUCUGGACUGUAACUGACACUGAGGCACGAAAGCGUGGGUAGCAAACAGGAUUAGAUACCCUGGUAGUCCACGCCGUAAACGAUGAGCACUAGGUGUUGGGCCCGUUAGGGCUCAGUGCCGCAGUUAACGCAAUAAGUGCUCCGCCUGGGGAGUACGCUCGCAAGAGUAAAACUCAAAGGAAUUGACGGGGACCCGCACAAGCAGCGGAGCAUGUGGUUUAAUUCGAAGCAACGCGAAGAACCUUACCAGGGCUUGACAUCCUGCUGACAGGACCUUAACCGGUCCCUUCUUCGGACAGCAGAGACAGGUGGUGCAUGGUUGUCGUCAGCUCGUGUCGUGAGAUGUUGGGUUAAGUCCCGCAACGAGCGCAACCCUUGUCGCUAGUUACUAACAUUCAGUUGAGGACUCUAGCGAGACUGCCGAGGUCAACUCGGAGGAAGGUGGGGAUGACGUCAAAUCAUCAUGCCCCUUAUGUUCUGGGCUACACACGUGCUACAAUGGUCGGUACAAUGAGAGGCAAUACUGUGAAGUGGAGCAAAUCACCAAAACCGAUCCCAGUUCGGAUUGUAGGCUGCAACUCGCCUACAUGAAGUUGGAGUUGCUAGUAAUCGCAGAUCAGAAUGCUGCGGUGAAUGCGUUCCCGGGUCUUGUACACACCGCCCGUCACACCAUGGAAGUUGGGGGUGCCCAAAGUCGGUUAAUUAAUCUAUCGCCUAAGGCAAAACCAAUGACUGGGGUGAAGUCGUAACAAGGUAGCCGUUCGAGAACGAGCGGCUGGAUCACCUCCUUUCUA